CCUGUGUAUGGUAGCCAUAUCAUAAGAGAUCAAUCCGUAAUAAACACUUUAUUAGUUCGAGGAGAUGUCGUUUUUUGAAAAAAUCCUGGUCGGAGUGGGGGCGUUUCUGCUUAUUUUCGUCGUAUCGGAGGGUUUUGUAAAAGAAUUGUAACGAGUUUUUUCAUCGCGUAACCAACGUUACGCGAUGUCGAUUUGGAAUUUGCAAUUGCCUAAAAGGAUUUUAUGGAUGGAACUGUGAAGUCAGACCCAAACAGGGUUCGGAAAAACCCAGGGUUUUAAUCAAAAAUUAU